GACGAACGCUGGCGGCGUGCUUAACACAUGCAAGUCGAACGGAAAGGCCCUGCUUUUGUGGGGUGCUCGAGUGGCGAACGGGUGAGUAACACGUGAGUAACCUGCCCUUGACUUUGGGAUAACUUCAGGAAACUGGGGCUAAUACCGGAUAGGAGCUCCUGCUGCAUGGUGGGGGUUGGAAAGUUUCGGCGGUUGGGGAUGGACUCGCGGCUUAUCAGCUUGUUGGUGGGGUAGCGGCUUACCAAGGCUUUGACGGGUAGCCGGCCUGAGAGGGUGACCGGCCACAUUGGGACUGAGAUACGGCCCAGACUCCUACGGGAGGCAGCAGUGGGGAAUAUUGCACAAUGGGCGGAAGCCUGAUGCAGCAACGCCGCGUGCGGGAUGACGGCCUUCGGGUUGUAAACCGUUUUCGCCUGUGACGAAGCGUGAGUGACGGUAAUGGGUAAAGAAGCACCGGCUAACUACGUG
rnacentral:rRNA from 1 species